rnacentral:rRNA from 1 species
CCUACGGGUGGCUGCAGUGGGGAAUAUUGCACAAUGGGCGCAAGCCUGAUGCAGCCAUGCCGCGUGUGUGAAGAAGGCCUUCGGGUUGUAAAGCACAUUCAGCGGGGAGGAAGGCGGUGAGGUUAAUAACCUCAUCGAUUGACGUUACCCGCAGAGGAAGCACCGGCUAACUCCGUGCCAGCAGCCGCGGUAAUACGGAGGGUGCAAGCGUUAAUCGGAAUUACUGGGCGUAAAGCGCACGCAGGCGGUCUGUCAAGUCGGAUGUGAAAUCCCCGGGCUCAACCUGGGAACUGCAUUCGAAACUGGCAGGCUAGAGUCUUGUAGAGGGGGGUAGAAUUCCAGGUGUAGCGGUGAAAUGCGUAGAGAUCUGGAGGAAUACCGGUGGCGAAGGCGGCCCCCUGGACAAAGACUGACGCUCAGGUGCGAAAGCGUGGGGAGCAAACAGGAUUAGAUACCCCGGUAGUC